UACGGGGGGAGCAAGCGUUGUUCGGAUUUACUGGGCGUAAAGGGCGCGUAGGCGGCCACCGCAAGUCGACUGUGAAAUCUCCGGGCUUAACCCGGAAAGGUCAGCCGAUACUGCGGGGCUAGAGUGCAGAAGGGGCAACUGGAAUUCUCGGUGUAGCGGUGAAAUGCGUAGAGAUGUGGAGGAACACCGAUGGCGAAGGCAGCCCCCUGGGCUAAGAUUGACGCUCAUGCACGAAAGCGUGGGGAGCAAACAGG
rnacentral:rRNA from 1 species